rnacentral:misc_RNA from 1 species
CACAUUGACCUUACUGAGAAGCAGAAGGUUUUGGUUUCGUCAUUAUCGGCCUACAGAACCGGUCAACCGCUUCUGCUUUCCUUCUCACAUCAGCUGACAAUAGAACUGGAGUGGCAUAUUUAGGAAGUGAGUCCUGCUGCUGCCUUUUCUCUCUUAACCAGGCUUCUGCUUCUACACACUCAUUCAAUACCUUCUGCUUCUCAGUAAGGUCAAUGUGAUCAAAUUUAGGAUCACUGG